CGUAUCACUUAAAGCGAUUCAGCGGGUUACGAUUGACGGAGCGAAGCGACGUCAAAGCGUAUACAAAGUCGAGUCGGUUUAAGGAUACGUUCGUUGGGUAGGGGAGCGUUCUGUAAGCCUGUGAAGGUGGCCUGUGAGGGUUGCUGGAGGUAUCAGAAGUGCGAAUGCUGACAUAAGUAACGAUAAAGCGGGUGAAAAGCCCGCUCGCCGGAAGACCAAGGGUUCCUGUCCAACGUUAAUCGGGGCAGGGUGAGUCGACCCCUAAGGCGAGGCCGAAAGGCGUAGUCGAUGGGAAACAGGUUAAUAUUCCUGUACUUGGUGUUACUGCGAAGGGGGGACGGAGAAGGCUAUGUUGGCCGGGCGACGGUUGUCCCGGUUUAAGCGUGUAGGCUGGUUUUCCAGGCAAAUCCGGAAAAUCAAGGCUGAGGCGUGAUGACGAGGCACUACGGUGCUGAAGCAACAAAUGCCCUGCUUCCAGGAAAAGCCUCUAAGCAUCAGGUAACAUCAAAUCGUACCCCAAACCGACACAGGUGGUCAGGUAGAGAAUACCAAGGCGCUUGAGAGAACUCGGGUGAAGGAACUAGGCAAAAUGGUGCCGUAACUUCGGGAGAAGGCACGCUGACACGUAGGUGAAGUGAUUUACUCACGGAGCUGAAGUCAGUCGAAGAUACCAGCUGGCUGCAACUGUUUAUUAAAAACACAGCACUGUGCAAACACGAAAGUGGACGUAUACGGUGUGACGCCUGCCCGGUGCCGGAAGGUUAAUUGAUGGGGUCAGCGCAAGCGAAGCUCCUGAUCGAAGCCCCGGUAAACGGCGGCCGUAACUAUAACGGUCCUAAGGUAGCGAAAUUCCUUGUCGGGUAAGUUCCGACCUGCACGAAUGGCGUAAUGAUGGCCAGGCUGUCUCCACCCGAGACUCAGUGAAAUUGAACUCGCUGUGAAGAUGCAGUGUACCCGCGGCAAGACGGAAAGACCCCGUGAACCUUUACUAUAGCUUGACACUGAACAUUGAGCCUUGAUGUGUAGGAUAGGUGGGAGGCUUUGAAGUGUGGACGCCAGUCUGCAUGGAGCCGACCUUGAAAUACCACCCUUUAAUGUUUGAUGUUCUAACGUGGACCCGUAAUCCGGGUUGCGGACAGUGUCUGGUGGGUAGUUUGACUGGGGCGGUCUCCUCCUAAAGAGUAACGGAGGAGCACGAAGGUUGGCUAAUCCUGGUCGGACAUCAGGAGGUUAGUGCAAUGGCAUAAGCCAGCUUGACUGCGAGCGUGACGGCGCGAGCAGGUGCGAAAGCAGGUCAUAGUGAUCCGGUGGUUCUGAAUGGAAGGGCCAUCGCUCAACGGAUAAAAGGUACUCCGGGGAUAACAGGCUGAUACCGCCCAAGAGUUCAUAUCGACGGCGGUGUUUGGCACCUCGAUGUCGGCUCAUCACAUCCUGGGGCUGAAGUAGGUCCCAAGGGUAUGGCUGUUCGCCAUUUAAAGUGGUACGCGAGCUGGGUUUAGAACGUCGUGAGACAGUUCGGUCCCUAUCUGCCGUGGGCGCUGGAGAACUGAGGGGGGCUGCUCCUAGUACGAGAGGACCGGAGUGGACGCAUCACUGGUGUUCGGGUUGUCAUGCCAAUGGCACUGCCCGGUAGCUAAAUGCGGAAGAGAUAAGUGCUGAAAGCAUCUAAGCACGAAACUUGCCCCGA
rnacentral:rRNA from 2 species